GCCGGGCGUGGUGGCACACACCUGUAGUCCCAGCUACUUGGGAGGCUGAGGUAAGAGAAUCGCUUGAACCCGGGAGGCUGAGGUUGCCGUGAGCUGAGAUCAUGCAACUGCACUCCAGCCUGGGUGACAGAGUGAGAGACUCCGUUUCAAAAAAAAAAAAAAAAGAGAGAGAGAAAUGGGGGUCUCCCUCUGUCACCCAGGCUGGUGCGAUCAUAGCUCACUGUAGCCUCAAACUCCUAGUCUCAAGCGAUCCUCCUGC
rnacentral:lncRNA from 1 species